AAGCAGAUGCUUGGAGCCCGUCUCAAAAGGGUUGCAGGAUCAUAAUUCCAGUACAUACAGUCUGCAUUCACUUCUGCAAAUACAAAUGGACAGUCGUAGUCCAGAUCUACGUUUCCUUCUUUGACGGCAUUCCUUGAGGCAGGACCACACUGAUAAAUUCCUAUGGCAUCAAGAAAAUAGACCUUAGAACUAAUCGAUGGUUUUAAACAUUACUCCUGGAAUGAAAUCUGUGUACCUCCACUUUCUUCUUGGGGAGUUGCAUCCAGAAUUUGCCAUCCGCUGUAUGAAGGGCCCAAGUCACUGCGGGAAAACCAGCUUUCAUUCCAGACAUGGAAAUUCCUACAUUCAAGAAUAAAUAAAGCAAGCCCAUGGUUAUGUGGUGAAUGUUCUAUCCCCAUACUGCAGAAGUGUAGGUCAAGUGGAGAAACUGGAAAUACUAAUCAAACUACAAGUAAAUCAGUUCUUUCAGGGGAAUGCUGAUAUAUUCCUACCUGAAGACCAAGGGUUGAAGAGCAAAACAAAAGUGCCAAGGACUACUGGAGACGAUCUGCCAGCUGAAGUACUUUGAACACUCAGCUUGUAACGUCCAAUGACAGCAUUAGCUGGGCU